UACGUAGGGUGCGAGCGUUAAUCGGAAUUACUGGGCGUAAAGCGUGCGCAGGCGGUUCGUUAAGUUCGAUGUGAAAGCCCCGGGCUUAACCUGGGAACUGCGUUUGAAACUGGGAGACUUGAGUGUGGCAGAGGGGGGUGGAAUUCCACGUGUAGCAGUGAAAUGCGUAGAUAUGUGGAGGAACACCGAUGGCGAAGGCAGCCCCCUGGGUUAACACUGACGCUCAUGCACGAAAGCGUGGGGAGCAAACAGG
rnacentral:rRNA from 1 species